rnacentral:tRNA from 1 species
GGCGCUGUCGCCGUCAGACGUCAUGGUCCGUAAUCCUUAUCGGCGCGGGACGGCCCGGACUUGAGAUCCGAGGAGCGGCGCCGGAAGGGGUGGAUGAGCGAGUCCUCCCGGCGCCGCCA